CAGAUUGAACGCUGGCGGCAGGCCUAACACAUGCAAGUCGAACGGUAACAGGAAGAAGCUUGCUUCUUUGCUGACGAGUGGCGGACGGGUGAGUAAUUUCUGGGAAACUGCCUGAUGGAGGGGGAUAACUACUGGAAACGGUAGCUAAUACCGCAUAACGUCGCAAGACCAAAGAGGGGGACCUUCGGGCCUCUUGCCAUCGGAUGUGCCCAGAUGGGAUUAGCUUGUUGGUGGGGUAACGGCUCACCAAGGCGACGAUCCCUAGCUGGUCUGAGAGGAUGACCAGCCACACUGGAACUGAGACACGGUCCAGACUCCUACGGGAGGCAGCAGUGGGGAAUAUUGCACAAUGGGCGCAAGCCUGAUGCAGCCAUGCCGCGUGUAUGAAGAAGGCCUUCGGGUUGUAAAGUACUUUCAGCGGGGAGGAAGGGAGUAAAGUUAAUACCUUUGCUCAUUGACGUUACCCGCAGAAGAAGCACCGGCUAACUCCGUGCCAGCAGCCGCGGUAAUA
rnacentral:rRNA from 1 species